GUGCCAGCCGCCGCGGUAAUUCCAGCUCCAAUAAGGAAAACUAAAGUUGCUGUGUUUAAAAAGCUCGUAGUUGAAUUUCGGGUAUUUGUUGCUAGCUGGUCUUAAUGGCCAUGUUGGUUAACAGAUCCUCAUUUACUGGAUGAUUGGCGAUGAUCUCUAUCGGUUGUCGUCAGUUGCCAGAACGUUUACUUUGAGAAAAUUAGAGUGCUAAAAGCAGGCUCACGCCUAUAUAUAUUGCAUGGAAUAAUGAAAUAAGAUCUCGAUUUUAUUUCGUUGGUUUUAGAAAUUGAGAUAAUGAUUAAUAGGAUCAGAGGGGGGCGUACGUACUGUGGUGUGAGAGGUGAAAUUCUUGGAUCGCCACAGGACGAACAGCAGCGGAGGCGUUCGCCAAGAAUGUUUUCAUUAAUCAAGAACGAAAGUUUGAGGUUCGAAGACGAUUAGAUACCGUCCUAGUUCAAACUAUAAACGUUGCCAACUGUCUUUUAGAUGCGGUUAUUUAUAUGACUCAUCUGGCGGAUCUCGAGAAAUCUAAGUUUUUAGGUUCCGGGGGAAGUAUGGUUGCAAAGCUGGAACUUAAAAGAAUUGACGGAAGGACACACAAGAAGUGGAGCCUGUGGCCUAAUUUGACUCAACACGGGAAACCUUACUCGGCCAGGACACUUUUAGGAUUGACAGAUUGAGAGCUCUUUCUUGAUUAGGUGGGUGGUGGUGCAUGGUCGUUCGUAGUUCGUGGAGCGAUUUGUCUGAUUAAUUUCGAUAACGAACGAGACUCCGGCUUACUAAAUAGUCUAAAGUUCGAAGGGACUUUUCAAGACUUCUUAGCAGGAUAAGUGGCACUUUUUAAGCCACACGAAAUGGAGCAAUAACAGGUCUGUGAUGCCCUUAGAUGUCCGAGGCUGCACGCGCGCUACACUGGAGAGUUCAGAAUGUUUCUUCCUACUUCGACAGAAGUGGGUAACCAUGAAAUUCUCUUCGUGACUGGGAUCGGAGCUUGCAAUUAUUCUCCGUCAACGAGGAAUUCCUAGUAAGCACUAUUUCAUCAGAAUGUGCUGAUUAUGUCCCUGUCCUUUGUACACACCGCCCGUC
rnacentral:rRNA from 1 species